AUGAGCAACAUCUCUCCUUCUUUCAGCGCCCCCACCCUUCUGGCCACGUCCUCCUCCCUUCGUCAUUUCUUUCCUCUCGCCGGCAGCCAGAGCACCAAGCAUGCCAUCCCCUCUACCCGUCCCAAGCCUCCUAUGAACCGCAUCAAUAUUACCCACUUCAUCAAUUUCAAGCUAGAUCCCGCCGCAAACAACUAUGCUCAGUGGACGCAGAAGUUCUACGCUAUCCUCACCAAAUACGACUGUGCCCACCAUGUCGACCACGAGUCUGAUCCUCGUCUUCAAGAUGCCAAGUGGCGCAACGACGAUCUGACCAUUGUUUUGUGGUUCUAUGCUACCAUUUGCGAUGAGCUCUAUCAAGUGGUGAGGGAGCCGGAGAACACCGCGUAUACUGUUUGGGACAAGUUGUACACCUUCUUCCGGGACAACCAGCCCGGAUGGGCCGUCCACAUCCGCGAAGAGUUAAGCGCCACUGAGCAAGGAGACAUGACGCUGGCCGCCUACUGCAAUCGGAUUAAGGCCCUCGCUGACGCCCUCGCCGAUGCGGGUGAACCAGUCAGCAAUGAGAUGUUGACAUUGCAAAUGAUCCGAGGACUCAACAACCGCUUCCAUGUGUUGGCAACUACUCUUCCCAUGCACAGGCCUUUUCCUACCUUUAUCCAGGUCCGUUCCCUGCUGUUGUUUGAAGAAAUCAAUCUUAAUGCGCGUGACAGGGCCAAGGGAUCCUCCACCAUCACCAUUGGCACCAACACCGGCUCCAGCUCCACCCUCGGUGGAAGCAACAAUGGGAAUCAAGGCGAUCGCAACGCUUUUUCUAACACCCGGCCUCGACAUUCGGCACAACCACAACAACGACCCUGGAUGGGCUACUUUGCGCCAUGGGGGGCGCCCUUCCCGUUUCCGAGGCAGCCGCCGCACACUCAGUGGGCCCCUCGAAGCGUCGGCGGCGUCCUCAACCCACGCCCAUCUGCUCCAACUCAGGGAUACUCGUUGCUCUACUCCAUGGCAUCCAUCUUUAUGCCGUCGCCUCCCUCGCGACACCGGUUCUCCGUGAUCGACGCGGCGCCCGGCAACACAAGCUCCACCCCUCCUCCAACAAUGACUAGUACAUGGACUAUGCCGCGUAAUCGCAUGUGA
rnacentral:rRNA from 1 species